GAUGAACGCUGGCGGCGUGCCUAAUACAUGCAAGUCGAGCGAACAGAUAAGGAGCUUGCUCCUUUGACGUUAGCGGCGGACGGGUGAGUAACACGUGGGUAACCUACCUAUAAGACUGGGAUAACUUCGGGAAACCGGAGCUAAUACCGGAUAAUAUUUCGAACCGCAUUGUUCGAUAGUGAAAGAUGGUUUUUCUAUCACUUAUAGAUGGACCCGCGCCGUAUUAGCUAGUUGGUAAGGUAACGGCUUACCAAGGCGACGAUACGUAGCCGACCUGAGAGGGUGAUCGGCCACACUGGAACUGAGACACGGUCCAGACUCCUACGGGAGGCAGCAGUAGGGAAUCUUCCGAAAUGGGCGAAAGCCUGACGGAGCAACGCCGCGUGAGUGAUGAAGGUCUUCGGAUCGUAAAACUCUGUUAUUAGGGAAGAACAUACGUGUAAGUAAAUGUGCACGUCUUGACGGUACCUAAUCAGAAAGCCACGGCUAACUACGUG
rnacentral:rRNA from 1 species